rnacentral:rRNA from 1 species
GUGGGGAAUUUUGGACAAUGGGCGCAAGCCUGAUCCAGCAAUGCCGCGUGCAGGAAGAAGGCCUUCGGGUUGUAAACUGCUUUUGUACGGAACGAAACGGUCUGGGUUAAUACCCUGGGCUAAUGACGGUACCGUAUGAAUAAGCACCGGCUAACUACGUGCCAGCAGCCGCGGUAAUACGUAGGGUGCAAGCGUUAAUCGGAAUUACUGGGCGUAAAGCGUGCGCAGGCGGUUUUGUAAGACAGGCGUGACAUACCCGGGCUCAACCUGGGAAUUGCGCUUGUGACUGGAAGGCUGGAGUGCGGCAGAGGGGGAUGGAAUUCCGCGUGUAGCAGUGAAAUGCGUAGAUAUGCGGAGGAAUACCGAUGGCGAAGGCAGCCCCCUGGGAUAACACUGACGCUCAUGCACGAAAGCGUGGGGAGCAAACAGGAUUAGAUACCCGGGUAGUCC